AGUGAACGCUGGCGGUAGGCCUAACACAUGCAAGUCGAACGGCAGCACAGUAAGAGCUUGCUCUUACGGGUGGCGAGUGGCGGACGGGUGAGGAAUACAUCGGAAUCUACUUUUUCGUGGGGGAUAACGUAGGGAAACUUACGCUAAUACCGCAUACGACCUACGGGUGAAAGCAGUGGAUCUUCGGACCUUGCGCGAUUGAAUUAGCCGAUGUCGGAUUAGCUAGUUGGCGGGGUAAAGGCCCACCAAGGCGACGAUCCGUAGCUGGUCUGAGAGGAUGAUCAGCCACACUGGAACUGAGACACGGUCCAGACUCCUACGGGAGGCAGCAGUGGGGAAUAUUGGACAAUGGGCGAAAGCCUGAUCCAGCCAUACCGCGUGGGUGAAGAAGGCCUUCGGGUUGUAAAGCCCUUUUGUUGGGAAAGAAAAGCAGCAGGUUAAUACCCCGCUGUUCUGACGGUACCCAAAGAAUAAGCACCGGCUAACUUCGUG
rnacentral:rRNA from 1 species